rnacentral:pre_miRNA from 1 species
UUUUUAGAUGAGCAUGUCCCAUGCAAUAUUUGGGAUAUGCUUAUACUAAAA